rnacentral:rRNA from 1 species
CGAGUGGCGGACGGGUGAGUAAUGCUUGGGAAUCUAGCUUAUGGAGGGGGAUAACUAUGGGAAACUGUAGCUAAUACCGCGUAGAAUCGGGAGAUGAAAGUGUGGGACCUUCGGGCCACAUGCCAUAGGAUGAGCCCAAGUGGGAUUAGGUAGUUGGUGAGGUAACGGCCCACCAAGGCGACGAUCGGUAGCCGGACUGAGAGGUUGAACGGCCACAUUGGGACUGAGACACGGCCCAG